UCGUAACAAGGUUUCCGUAGGUGAACCUGCGGAAGGAUCAUUAAAGAGUAAGGGUGCUCAGCGCCCGACCUCCAACCCUUUGUUGUUAAAACUACCUUGUUGCUUUGGCGGGACCGCUCGGUCUCGAGCCGCUGGGGAUUCGUCCCAGGCGAGCGCCCGCCAGAGUUAAACCAAACUCUUGUUAUUUAACCGGUCGUCUGAGUUAAAAUUUUGAAUAAAUCAAAACUUUCAACAACGGAUCUCUUGGUUCUCGCAUCGAUGAAGAACGCAGCGAAAUGCGAUAAGUAAUGUGAAUUGCAGAAUUCAGUGAAUCAUCGAAUCUUUGAACGCACAUUGCGCCCCUUGGUAUUCCGAGGGGCAUGCCUGUUCGAGCGUCAUUACACCACUCAAGCUAUGCUUGGUAUUGGGCGUCGUCCUUAGUUGGGCGCGCCUUAAAGACCUCGGCGAGGCCACUCCGGCUUUAGGCGUAGUAGAAUUUAUUCGAACGUCUGUCAAAGGAGAGGAACUCUGCCGACUGAAACCUUUAUUUUUCUAGGUUGACCUCGGAUCAGGUAGGGAUACCCGCUGAACUUAAGCAUAUCAAUAA
rnacentral:misc_RNA from 1 species